rnacentral:rRNA from 1 species
GACGAACGCUGGCGGCGUGCCUAAUACAUGCAAGUCGAACGCAGUGGGGACGGGUGAGUAACACGUGGGUAACCUCCCAUCAGAGGGGAUAACACUUGGCUACUGGUGCUAAACCGAUACUGAUGGAUGGACCCGCGGUGCAUUAGCUAGUUGGUGAGGUAACGGCUCACCAAGGCCACGAUGCAUAGCCGACCUGAGAGGGUGAUCGGCAACACUGGGACUGAGACACGGCCCAGACUCCUACGGGAGGCAGCAGUAGGGAAUCUUCGGCAAUGGACGAAAGUCUGACCGAGCAACGCCGCGUGAGUGAAGAAGGUUUUCGGGUCGUAAAACUCUGUUGGUAGAGAAGCGGUAUCUAACCAGAAAGCAACGGCUAACUACGUGCCAGCAGCCGCGGUAAUUC